GAUGAACGCUGGCGGCGUGCCUAAUACAUGCAAGUCGAGCGAACGGACGAGAAGCUUGCUUUUCUGAUGUUAGCGGCGGACGGGUGAGUAACACGUGGAUAACCUACCUAUAAGACUGGGAUAACUUCGGGAAACCGGAGCUAAUACCGGAUAAUAUUUUGAACCGCAUGGUUCAAAAGUGAAAGACGGUCUUGCUGUCACUUAUAGAUGGAUCCGCGCUGCAUUAGCUAGUUGGUAAGGUGACGGCUUACCAAGGCAACGAUGCGUAGCCGACCUGAGAGGGAGGUCGGCCACCCUGGAACUGAGACACGGUCCAGACUCCUACGGGAGGCAGCAGUAGGGAAUCUUCCGCAAUGGGCGAAAGCCUGACGGAGCAACGCCGCGUGAGUGAAGAAGGUCUUCGGAUCGGAAAACUCUGUUAUUAGGGGAGAACAAAUGUGUAAGUAGCUAUGCACGUCUUGACGGUACCUAAUCAGAAAGCCACGGCUAACUACGUG
rnacentral:rRNA from 1 species